rnacentral:ribozyme from 1 species
UGCCCAGGAACUCCUAUCCCUACCUCCACGCGGUACCGGCCGGAAACUAUGAGCAACCUUAGGGAAGAUCGGGUAACCAACCCCGGUGGGAACUUUGGUCGUAGGCUGACAGGGAAGA